rnacentral:rRNA from 1 species
GAUGAACGCUGGCGGCGUGCCUAAUACAUGCAAGUCGAGCGAACGGACGAGAAGCUUGCUUUUCUGAUGUUAGCGGCGGACGGGUGAGUAACACGUGGAUAACCUACCUAUAAGACUGGGAUAACUUCGGGAAACCGGAGCUAAUACCGGAUAAUAUUUUGAACCGCAUGGUUCAAAAGUGAAAGACGGUCUUGCUGUCACUUAUAGAUGGAUCCGCGCUGCAUUAGCUAGUUGGUAAGGUAACGGCUUACCAAGGCAACGAUGCAUAGCCGACCUGAGAGGGUGAUCGGCCACACUGGAACUGAGACACGGUCCAGACUCCUACGGGAGGCAGCAGUAGGGAAUCUUCCGCAAUGGGCGAAAGCCUGACGGAGCAACGCCGCGUGAGUGAUGAAGGUCUUCGGAUCGUAAAACUCUGUUAAUAGGGAAGAACAUAUGUGUAAGUAACUGUGCACAUCUUGACGGUACCUAAUCAGAAAGCCACGGCUAACUACGUG